AAAUUAAUGAGGCGCUAAAGCCAUUGAUGUGUUUAGGUGAUUGAUGUGUGUUUGUUUGGCAGGGACUGUAACUGACUGCAGAAGUGGAAGGGCAUCUACACACGGCAGCACUUCUCUCUUUCUGUCUUGCACAGUUUCUACAUAAUGACCUGUGAUUGUGAUGUAAACAGACACUCCUAAAGAUUGGCAAACCACAGCUAUCCAGUGUGGCUCAGCUAAAUCAGACCAACUGACAAAGCAAAGCCAUUGAAGGUAAAUAAAAACGUCUUUCUGUUUGAAUGUGAUCUUUUA
rnacentral:lncRNA from 1 species